rnacentral:lncRNA from 1 species
GCAGUUUGGCUUCUGAUGUUGUGAAGUGCCAAAUCACUCUGCACUGAUAGUGGUGGGGCCAUACAUGUGAGCCCAGAGCUGGCUGGCCCAUUGUAAAGUGAGGUCAUCAAACCACCCGACACUGUGCAGAAUGAGCAUUUACAGAAGGUCUGGAGAAGUGAGGAUGGGACCUGGAGCUGUGGUGAAAUUACUGCAGAUAGAUCUGUGGCCUUUUCCUGUUGUGCGUCUCUGUCUAAGGAUGAAGACACCUAACGGAGUAGGGCCCAAGGAGAGGAGGAUGGACAGAUCAUCCGAGAUUGCUCAGACAGAUCAAGAAUCACGGCAAAUGGAAGAAGGUCUGUCAGGUGGCACCAAGCCAGCCUGCAGCUUGAGUGCAAGCUGGGAGUGA